GAAGUUCAUCAUCUUUAGACUUAAGGAAUUAACAAGGGUCAGGGAGACUACACCAGGCUGAGGGCUUCUUGGUUCCUGGAGACAUGCCCAGCUACAGCAAACACAGGGAAACACGAAGGGGGCAGCUGGAAGAUUUGGUCUUGAACUUGGGGGGUGGGUAAGUGAUGAUCCCCACGACUGGAGCAGCAGGAAGAAGUUGUGUCUGAGGAAGUGCUGGGCCGCCCAGAGGGACAGCCCUGCCCUGGAGCUUGUCGCCGGGAGGGAAGGGAAACAAGCCCCCUCCCUCAGUGCUGAGGAAAAGGCACUUGGCUGGGUCUCCUCCUGCCCUCUCCCCAUCCGUGGGAGAGACGGGGUCCUUGCCUCCUUGCCCCUUUCAGCCGCCCAGAAGCCGGUCCUGGUUCAGCCUCUGGAAGAAGCUUUUGCCGAACUCAUAGGUGCUGAUCAUGAUGGCACAGGAGGGGGCAGCCUUGAUGAUCCGAGGAAGGAAGCCUGCACUGCAAAGAGUCCCUUGGUGC
rnacentral:lncRNA from 1 species